AGUAAUACAUCGGAACGUGUCUUCUAGUGGGGGAUAACUGCCCGAAAGGGCAGCUAAUACCGCAUGAGACCUGAGGGUGAAAGCGGGGGAUCGCAAGACCUCGCGCUGGAAGAGCGGCCGAUGUCCGAUUAGCUAGUUGGUGAGGUAAAGGCUCACCAAGGCGACGAUCGGUAGCUGGUCUGAGAGGACAACCAGCCACACUGGGACUGAGACACGGCCCAG
rnacentral:rRNA from 1 species